rnacentral:rRNA from 1 species
AGAGUUUGAUCCUGGCUCAGGAUGAACGCUGGCGGCGUGCCUAACACAUGCAAGUCGAGCGAUGAAAUUUCCUUCGGGAAAUGGAUUAGCGGCGGACGGGUGAGUAACACGUGGGUAACCUGCCUCAUAGUGGGGGAUAGCCUUCCGAAAGGGAGAUUAAUACCGCAUAACAUCAUUAGAUGGCAUCAUUUAGUGAUCAA